rnacentral:hammerhead_ribozyme from 1 species
AUCCAGCUGAUGAGUCCCAAAUAGAACGAAACGUGUGUCCUGAAU